GACGUAGGUGGCGAACGUUAUCCGGAAUUAUUGGGCGUAAAGGGUGCGUAGGUGGCCUGACAAGUUAUCAGUGGCAAAUCGAGGCUCAACCUCGUGGAAACUGGUAAUACUGUUCGGCUUGAGUACAGGAGAGGUUAACGGAACUCUAUGUGGAGCGGUAAAAUGCACAGAUAUAUAGAAAGAACAUCAAUAAAGGCGAAGGCAGUUAACUAUUCUGUUACUGACGCUGAGGCACGAAAGCGUGGGGAGCAAAACGG
rnacentral:rRNA from 1 species